rnacentral:rRNA from 1 species
UACGAAGGGGGCUAGCGUUGCUCGGAAUCACUGGGCGUAAAGCGCACGUAGGCGGCUUACUAAGUCAGGGGUGAAAUCCUGGAGCUCAACCCCGGAACUGCCUUUGAUACUGGGUAUCUCGAGUCCGAGAGAGGUGAGUGGAAUUCCGAGUGUAGAGGUGAAAAUUCGUAGAUUAUUCGGAGGAACACCAGUGGCGAAGGCGGCUCACUGGCUCGGUACUGACGCUGAGGUGCGAAAGCGUGGGGGAGCAAACAGG